UGUGAAAGUCUCGACUCUCUGCCUGAGGGAAUCAUGCACUACAAUUCCAUUAGUGCCAAGAACACUUGUCUUCUUGAAGUCUUGAAGAUCGAGCAAUGUUCAUCUCUAAAGUCCUUUCCAAAUGGGAAACUAUCUUCCACCCUCAAGCAACUUGAGAUUUCAGAUGGCAUGGAAUUAGAGUCAAUUUCAGAAAGGAUGAUGCAUAAUACCAUGCUUGAAUAUUUGUCAAUUGAUUGUGAUCCAUAUCUGAAAAUCCUACCAGAAUGCCUACAUAACCUCACAUUUCUCAGCAUAGGUGAUUGUCCAGGAUUAGAGUCAUUUCCAGAGAGAGGCUUGCCGAUGCCAAACCUCAAAACCCUUCUCAUUGGCUUUUUGUGAGAAUCUCAAGUUCCUGCCCAAUCGAAUGCAGAACCUUAAGUCUUUUGAAUAUCUUAGUAUAGCUUUUUGUCCAGGCCUGGUGUUCUUUCCAGAAGGGGGUUUGGCUCCAAACCUAAAAUACCUUAAGAUCGAUAAUUGCGAGAAUCUGAAGGCGCCCCUUUCUGAAUGGGGCUUCCACAGACUUACCUCUCUUUCAUCAUUAAGCAUUUGGUGUGUUCUUCCAGGAAUGGUUUCCCUCUCAGAUUAUGAGUGUCUUCUUCCUACAUCUCUUACUGACCUUGAGAUCCAUGGACUGGAAUCCCUAGCCUCCCCGGCUCUCCAAAACCUCAACUCUAUGAAACAGCUGUAUAUCACACGUUGUCCUAAGCUCUGGUCCUUAAGUUUGCCUCCAACACUUGCAAGCCUUAACAUCAGCGAGUGUCCCAUACUAAAAGAAAGGUGCUUAAAGGAAAAAGGAGAGCAUUGGCCCAACAUUGCUGACUUCCCCAACGUAAGAAUAGAUCAUGAACUGAUCCAUUGAAGUAUAAUCAGUUGAGAUUGAAAUGCAUUUCCGGGGUCAUGGAAAAGAAUGGGAAGCAGAAUCCUGUUCAGCCAUAUACUCACAUUAUUCAAUCAGAUGGAUUCUACUUGAUGGGGAUGUAGCAGUUAGUUCACCAGGUGAUGAAAAAAUAACAGAUGAUCUAUUCCCUUGACGGUUACUUGGCUUUGACGACAAUUAUUGAUUGGGGUUUUCCACCAUGUUUUUGUUUCUGUUGUUGCUCUCUACCUCAGUUUAACUAACGAAGGGAAAAACCAGUGGGGAUGAAGUAAAAAAUUUACUAAUCACGAUUGUUGUAUGCUCUUGAUCCCAGAAUCAGGUGACUGCUCAACUUUCUCAUUUUGAGUGAACCUGAUAAAUGAUUCAUAAAUUGAUAUGCUUAAAUUUUUUUUUCUCUAUCUGCUUUGUAACCCUGACAGCUCAUUUUUUCAUUCUUUUGGCACAAUGAAUCCAAAAUUUCCCUAUCCUAAGUGCAGCCUAUUCAUAUGCUGGUAUGUUCUUAAAGCAACAGUACAUGAUGUCUUAUUUUUCUUUUCUUGUCAAGUAAUACAGAUAGGUUUCUCUAUUUAAGUUGAUAUACUUUGAUCACCAAUGGUAUUAUCGAGGCUCGUGGUUUUACAUAUACUAUUAUGAUAAAGUGACAACAGAGUUGCAUGCAUGUUUGAGGUCAAUAUAUAAUAAGCAGAUUUAUUAUUAUUGGAGUUAUUUUUGGGAUUUUAGCUCAAGCUCUGAGGGUUGUGGAUAAAGGCUUUCACAUAAGAUAUAAAUAUGUACAGACAAUGUCAUCCCUACACAGAUAAAUAGCCAUUCAUUUAUGAGUUGAGUUUAUAUUGAAAUUUAUGAAGCAGAGACUACCACAAUCCGAUUAAGAGAUCUUGUAAGCUUGAUUUUCCCAUUUUGAUGCAAUUUGAGUAUUCUUCUACAUAUAGGUGCUUCCUCUAACAUAAGGAUUAUUUGUCUACUACUUGUUUUUCAUAUACUGAAUUGUCACAAAGGUCAGUAUGUGAUCGUGCAGGUCUCCUCUCAUGGAUUUGGCACCGCCUAGCAUCAUUCUGGGUCCUGAUUUUUUGACAAGCUUUAUAGUCCGAGUUGGUUGCUGUUGAGUAUCCAGUUGUGGUUGCCUUUUCAGAUGAAGAGUUCCUGCUUCUUGCUCCUAUAAACUUUGAUAGAUGUCCUUAGUCAUGAUUGUCUGCUGAUUUAAUUUCUUGCUCCAGAACCACUUCUCUUGCAAUGCUAUUGAUCUCAAGUUACCUUUUUGCCAAAAGAAGAGACAUGCAUGGUUGGCAUUCAGUCAUCCUUUGCAGUAUCAUGGGCUCCUGAAGUCAGAUUUCUAUAGUUCCAAACAUCACUGAGAGGCUUCUGCAAGGUCAAUUGGACUCAUCGUACUUUCAGUGCAAAUGCUA